rnacentral:rRNA from 1 species
GAGGUCCCAAGCGUUGUUCGGAUUCACUGGGCGUAAAGGGUGCGUAGGCGGUUGGGUAAGUCUGUCGUGAAAUCUCCAAGCCUAACUCGGAAACUGCGUCGGAUACUAUUCAACUCGAGGAAUGGAGGGAGACUGGAAUUCUCGGUGUAGCAGUGUAAUGCGUAGAUAUCGAGAGGAACACCAGUGGCGAAGGCGAGUCUCUGGACAUUUCCUGACGCUGAGGCACGAAAGCCAGGGGAGCAAACGGGAUUAGAUACCCCGGUAGUCCUGGCCCUAAACGGUGCAUGUUUGCUGUAAGAGGAAUCGACCCCUUUUGUGGCGAAGCUAACGCGUUAAACAUGCCGCCUGGGAAGUACGGCCGCAAGGUUA